GUUGAACGCUGGCGGCAUGCCUUACACAUGCAAGUCGAACGGUAACAGGUCUUCGGAUGCUGACGAGUGGCGAACGGGUGAGUAAUACAUCGGAACGUGCCCGAUCGUGGGGGAUAACGAAGCGAAAGCUUUGCUAAUACCGCAUAAGAUCUAAGGAUGAAAGCAGGGGACCGCAAGGCCUUGCGCGAACGGAGCGGCCGAUGGCAGAUUAGGUAGUUGGUGGGAUAAAAGCUUACCAAGCCGACGAUCUGUAGCUGGUCUGAGAGGACGACCAGCCACACUGGGACUGAGACACGGCCCAGACUCCUACGGGAGGCAGCAGUGGGGAAUUUUGGACAAUGGGCGAAAGCCUGAUCCAGCCAUGCCGCGUGCAGGAUGAAGGCCUUCGGGUUGUAAACUGCUUUUGUACGGAGCGAAAAGACUCUUUCUAAUAAAGAGGGUCCAUGACGGUACCGUAAGAAUAAGCACCGGCUAACUACGUGCCAGCCGCCGCCGUAACAC
rnacentral:rRNA from 1 species